rnacentral:rRNA from 1 species
AUUGAACGCUGGCGGCAUGCCUUACACAUGCAAGUCGAACGGCAGCAUGAUCUAGCUUGCUAGAUUGAUGGCGAGUGGCGAACGGGUGAGUAAUACAUCGGAACGUGCCCUGUAGUGGGGGAUAACUAGUCGAAAGAUUAGCUAAUACCGCAUACGACCUGAGGGUGAAAGUGGGGGACCGCAAGGCCUCAUGCUAUAGGAGCGGCCGAUGUCUGAUUAGCUAGUUGGUGAGGUAAAGGCUCACCAAGGCGACGAUCAGUAGCGGGUCUGAGAGGACGAUCAGCCACACUGGGACUGAGACACGGCCCAGACUCCUACGGGAGGCAGCAGUGGGGAAUUUUGGACAAUGGGCGAAAGCCUGAUCCAGCAAUGCCGCGUGUGUGAAGAAGGCCUUCGGGUUGUAAAGCACUUUUGUCCGGAAAGAAAUGGCUCUGGUUAAUACCUGGGGUCGAUGACGGUACCGGAAGAAUAAGGACCGGCUAACUACGUG